rnacentral:rRNA from 1 species
CAAUAGCGUAUAUUAAAGUUGUUGCAGUUAAAAAGCUCGUAGUUGGAUUUCUGGUAGGAGUGACCGUGCCGGAUUUGAUUAUCCGUGUAUUGAGUUGUCUCCAGCCAUCCUUGUGGAGAACUUUUCUUGCAUUAAUUUGUAGGGAUUGGGACCCGCAUCGUUUACUGUGAAAAAAUUAGAGUGUUUAAAGCAGGCAAUCGCUUGAAUACAUUAGCAUGGAAUAAUAAGAUAGGAUUUUGGUACUAUUUUGUUGGUUUGCAUACCAAAUUAAUGAUCAACAGGAACAGCUUGAGGAUAUUCGUAUGAACAUGUCAGAGGUGAAAUUCUUGGAUUUUGAUCAGACGAACUACUGCGAAAGCAUUUAUCAAGGAUGUUUUCAUUAA